rnacentral:rRNA from 1 species
ACACAUGCAAGUCGAGGGGUAUAGUUCUUCGGAACUAGAGACCGGCGCACGGGUGCGUAACGCGUAUGCAAUCUACCUUUCACAGAGGGAUAGCCCAGAGAAAUUUGGAUUAAUACCUCAUAGUAUUAUAGAGUGGCAUCACUUUAUAAUUAAAGUCACAACGGUGAAAGAUGAGCAUGCGUCCCAUUAGCUAGUUGGUAAGGUAACGGCUUACCAAGGCAACGAUGGGUAGGGGUCCUGAGAGGGAGAUCCCCCACACUGGUACUGAGACACGGACCAGACUCCUACGGGAGGCAGCAGUGAGGAAUAUUGGACAAUGGGCGCAAGCCUGAUCCAGCCAUGCCGCGUGCAGGAUGACGGUCCUAUGGAUUGUAAACUGCUUUUGUACAGGAAGAAACACUGGUUCGUGAACCAGCUUGACGGUACUGUAAGAAUAAGGAUCGGCUAACUCCGUGCCAGCAGCCGCGGUAAUACGGAGGAUCCAAGCGUUAUCCGGAAUCAUUGGGUUUAAAGGGUCCGUAGGCGGUUUAGUAAGUCAGUGGUGAAAGCCCAUCGCUCAACGGUGGAACGGCCAUUGAUACUGCUAAACUUGAAUUAUUAGGAAGUAACUAGAAUAUGUAGUGUAGCGGUGAAAUGCUUAGAGAUUACAUGGAAUACCAAUUGCGAAGGCAGGUUACUACUAAUGGAUUGACGCUGAUGGACGAAAGCGUGGGUAGCGAACAGGAUUAGAUACCCUGGUAGUCCACGCCGU